GAUCAUGGCUCGAGGACGAACGCUGGCGGCGUGCCUAACACAUGCAAGUCGAACGGACGAGGGGAGCUUGCUCCCUGAGUUAGUGGCGAACGGGUGAGUAACGCGUGAGCAACCUGCCUUUCAGAGGGGGACAACGGUUGGAAACGACCGCUAAUACCGCAUGAAACAGCUUGACCGCAUGAUCGGGCUGUCAAAGAUUUAUCGCUGAAAGAUGGGCUCGCGUCUGAUUAGAUAGUUGGUGGGGUAACGGCCUACCAAGUCGACGAUCAGUAGCCGGACUGAGAGGUUGAACGGCCACAUUGGGACUGAGAUACGGCCCAGACUCCUACGGGAGGCAGCAGUGGGGAAUAUUGGGCCAAUGGGGGAAACCCUGACCCAGCAACGCCGCGUGAAGGAAGAAGGCUUUCGGGUUGUAAACUUCUUUUACCGAGGACGAAGAACGUGACGGUACUCGGAGAAAAAGCCACGGCUAACUACGUGCCAGCCGCUGC
rnacentral:rRNA from 1 species